rnacentral:tRNA from 1 species
GGCUCUGUGGUGAAGUUCAUGUUGAGUUGCAAGCUCAUCGAUGCACAUGGAAGAUGUGUCAGGGCCU